CACGUAGGGUGCGAGCGUUGUCCGGAAUUAUUGGGCGUAAAGAGCUCGUAGGCGGUGUGUCGCGUCGGCCGUGAAAACCUGCAGCUUAACUGUGGGCUUGCGGUCGAUACGGGCAUCACUGGAGUUCGGUAGGGGAGACUGGAAUUCCUGGUGUAGCGGUGAAAUGCGCAGAUAUCAGGAGGAACACCGGUGGCGAAGGCGGGUCUCUGGGCCGAUACUGACGCUCAUGCACGAAAGCGUGGGGAGCAAACAGG
rnacentral:rRNA from 1 species